GUUAUUUUAGUUUUCUAUUUUUUAUGUUUUAUGUUAUUUUAUGUAGAUAUUAAGCAUUGACAUAAGGUUGUAUAUAUAAUUAUAUUUAUUUGAUAUUGAUACUAGAGCCUAUAGUAUUCCCUUUUUAAUAUUAUUUGGGAUAGGGGGAGGCAGAUGGGGUUGGAAAUAUACCUGAUGGAGAAAUGAUAAUUGGAUUUUGUAACCAAUACAGGAAAGAUGACUUUGCAUUUAAAAGUUACAUCUUGACGUUGUCCAGAAAAAAACAACAUUGAAAUAUUUUACUCCAACAGAAGUUGAUCUGAUCCCCACACCUAAAGUAAACCAUAUAAAUUCUGAACUGCCAUGACAAGUGUAUGAAUUGUUUCACCUUGGUUUCUCAAGGCACUCUAUAAGUAUUUUGUAUUUAUAUGAAAUUAAGAGAAUAUUACAAUUUGUAGUUUAACAGUCAGGGG
rnacentral:lncRNA from 1 species